GCAUCUUACUCGACGGAUCAAUCCAGCUUAAUUAUUUGCACAAUUAAAUAAUCUGAAGGAAGUCACUACGUCUCCAGGUCAGACACGAGGACUUCUAGUAACAGAGGCAACGAAAUUUAUUUAAAAUUGAAAUCAACCCUACAUAUACUAUGCAUUAUUGAUUUCGGACCUGAGGAAUGUCAAGUUUAUCAAUCGCAGAGGAAUUUUUGACGACAGGCAUUGGCGCUUACUCCAAGUAGCAUUAACCUCUCGAAUCUUGCACUAGAUAGUGGUGUCUGGGGUGGAGUUUCCAGACAGUACCAUAAGGGGCUGGUAAAAGAUCAGCUUCGUUAUCUCUCGCCUGGUGUCGAGUUGGGCUCCAGAGUAAUCCUUCUAAAUCCCCAACAAUACCUGGAGGGUAUAGCAGCCAUUAGUGGAAAGUUGGUGGGAGGCAAAAAUGUGGGUUAAAAAAAAUAUAUUAAUAUACUUUUCAACCAGUGAGAUCGUCCUUGUCGAUUUGAAAAUCUUGGACUUAGGGCAUUUCGUAUUUGUUCCCUCGUUCACUGAAUAUACGUGUGCGCUAUGUGAAUAUGAUUUUUUAAAAAAAGUACCAAAUUUUUGAGACACCCCAUACGUGACAGGAUGCGUGUGCAUGUAAGAGCGCCAGACGUACCAUCUCUCACGACCCCUCAAAGAGUCGAGCGGCUUUCGUCUUUUAUUCUGGGUCCACUGUCGGAUAAAAAGAGAAGACGAAGAGCCCGAAGAGCUGCCUUCUCGUGGUUACCAGAGGAGUGGGAUAAAGAGGGAAAAAGAAGACGAAGAAUAGGAUAAAAAGAAGAAGACGAGAGGAAAGUAGUAUCCUUAAAAAAAAGGAGAAGAUGAGAAGUCAAGGAAAAGGUAAGAGAGUCUACAGGUAAAGAGAGCUAGAAAAAAAAUUCUCAUACAUGUACACUGGAUCACAGCUUAAAAAAAAAGCGAUAUUCUUUUUGACGUAGGUAGCGAAGAGGAUUUGGAAAAAAGAAUUAUUAAAGCCAAUUCAAGAUUUUGCAUCUAUGCCAAAAUCUAGGAAAUUUCUAAUCUCAGUGGCAAUUACUCGCAACGUCCAUGCGUGUAGAUCGUUCCCAACUGUGUCCCUGGUUCCCAGUGGAAUGGUAGCUUUUACGAGUCCUGGUCGUGACUGUACUCCAGUACCCCGGCGAAGCCAGGGCAUGUCUGCAGGAGCUUUUAUGGGUUGUGAACAGGUCGUGCCUCGCUUGUAGACCUCUACGUACUCUCUUAUGCGCACGUGUGCCUUUCUGCUGGUUGACACGUAGCUACGUAGUUACGUAUCUGACGGUAGAUAGGUACCUGGAUACCUACGUUACGUAGGUAGAUACGGAACUCGUUGCCUUCCUAUACUGGUAUCCAGCACGUGAUACCCACACCAGCCCUGACUGGAUAGGGUACUGGAUCGUAAAGAGCAUUCCUUGCUCUCUGAUGCAUCGGCGCUGGAUCGGACCUUAUAGCGAAGACUAUAUUUUCCCACGGAAAAAUUGCGUCCUCGAGAUAAGUGUGGAUGCUGCCGUAGAGUGUUGUGUACCACUUAAUGCCAGAUUUGAUGGAAGAAUAAAAUCGGAAGCACUGGGUCUACGUGGUAGCAGCUAGUUGAUAUCAGGUACCAACUUGGUUGCCUGAGGGAAACCGAAGAUACUGCCAGGUGCCAAGAUAGGAAAUUUGAGGAGGUACUAAAAAAAAAAAGUGCCUUUACAGGUUUUUCCUUCGAAACACCCUUAUGGUAUACUCUAUGGGGUAUAUCGUCUGUGCACGAGUUUUCGUAACACCCUGUAGAAGGAGUGCGCGUAUAAGUUGACUCUGCAUACAGUAAAUAUGCGCGGAGCCACCCAAGUGGACCACCCGCCAACAAGAGUGAGGAACGCAGAACGCGGAACGUGGUGAACACACGGGGGAACAUCGUGGGGCAACGGUUACGAGAAUAACGCGCACGCAGGGCUUUAUGGCCACGCCUAAAAACAGUCGCUCGACUUAGAUAGGCCGCCUCUGUAUAGCACGCGAGCACGCGCUCAUUUGCUGGCUCUAAGAUUUUCCGACGAAAGGAACGUUCCUCGAGGAGUGUACAAAUCUUUGUGCUUGAUCCACCAAGAGGAUCCUGGUUACUCCAGCAGAAUGAAGAUAUCUUCGGGAGCCAUCGCUAAUGUACGGAGUAAAAGUUGAAGAGGAGUCGUGGAUACCUCAGUCCUGGUAUGUCCAAUUGGUACAGGCUGAGUACCAGGACCACGUAUUUACGUUUUGGAAAUGGGUGGCCGUUGAAAAAGUUUGGCUAACUGCGAACCUGGAGCGUGGGUCGCUAUCAGCUAGUGGUACUGGGGUUGGGGCAUGAAGGGGAUACUGGCCCUGUGCUGGCUGGGAUUGCUAGGGACCCCUGUCUACGUGGGAGCGGUCGACGACGGACGCACUCUCUCUUUCUCUGUCCUUCUCCGACCCAUGGCUUUUGGUGUUUAUCUCCUUCUCUUUCCCACUCCUCUACCAGCUCACACUCUGGACUCCUACGGUUCACGUCCGUCCGUCCCACUCUCUACUCCCACUCCGCGGAGGGUUCUGCGCCGUUCAUCCUAUCCCACCCUGUCCCCUUGCUCUUCUGCCCAUCCCGGUGACCCUCUCCGCUCGAUAUGACACCCCACUCCGGCGCCAGCCGUCGACGGCUACGGACUGCUACGGCUACGGCUGCACAAGCACUCACGGAGGCAAGUCGCGGUUCUACCACCCCACCCCGUGGCCACUAGCUUCCCCUACCUUGACAGGGUGCCGCCAACGUAGCACCGAAGCACUGUACGGACCAAGCAACGAAGCACCGUAGGGAUCGUAGCCACGUAGCACUGCAGGGCCGUAGCUCACCCUGGCAGAACCCACGUCGACGCUUCCUCCCUGUCCUCCGCCCCCUUGACUCUCCCUCCUUCUGCUCUUGGUCUCGAAUUCUCGUUCCACCAUCGCCUCAUACCCCGUUACACCCCUUGCGAGACUCGAGGACUCGUACUCAUCCCACCACUAGGAGGAAACUCCUCACCCAGCAAGUCCUCCUCCAUCCAGGUUCUCGUACCAUUGACGAUGAACGGCAACCGCCCUGGCAUGCCACGUCCGCUAUCACCCACGCGAGUCAACUACGUCACUGGACGAAGCUUAAAGGCUCGUUCACACUUGAUGAAGCCCUUUUUUUUCUAGGACAAUGAUGAGGGAAUGCUCAUGCUUGAUUGGUGAUAGCGAUUCGGGGGGACAAAUGGAUUGAGGGGAGGGCUAUUGACAAUUUUCACAAAUGGCACGAACAAUGGCUAUCGCAUUUCCUAGCUAUCUAGACUGGCUGGUACGCAAUGGAUCCUCCAGUUACGCAAUUAUCGGUUUUCUCUCGAAAAUGGCAUAUCAGCCGCUUGCUAUGAACGUGGCUGGCUUUGAUCGUUCACUCGAAAUUUUCACAAGGGGCUUCCCCGGGGCCCUUUUGUGGAUUCUCCAAUCCGAAUGACGGUACGGUCCCUGGGAUUUUAGCUGGGAUUGCCUAGGGAUUUUUAUUUUUCUCUCUUUUGGCAUUACUUUAUGGUGCCUGGCUUAACCUCUGGUUAUAUUGAGAUACUAAACCUUUUUUUUUGCUGAUUACAGGGGUAGUCACUGCAGUCGUGGCGAGUAACGCUCUUCCUAUCAUUAGGGGAUGGAUGAUUGCUCUUGGCCACGGUCCAGGAUUCCUCCUACUUCCGGAACGUUUCCGUCGUCGCGUCAUUUCCGGUCCCCUUGUAAUUUUCAUGCUAUAACGGCACGUGCUCCCCCAUGCGUUUAUACGCUCUAUGGUCCCGAAGAGUUUCUUUACCGACGGCUGAGAAUUCAAUGAAAAUAGUGCGUGCGACUUUGUCCUCCCCUAAUGGUCAAAGGUUGGCCGAGGAUAGUUGAUCAGCCCUGUAAUUUUCUUCGCCUGCACCAUUUUUUUUCACACGUAACUUUCAUAUGUAAUUACAGUUACUCUUUUUAGUUCUGAACACGCGUCAUGCAUUUGUCUGGAUAUGAGCCCGCAACAUUUUACUAAAUAUGAAAUGAGUCUCGACUUUCUUUACGUUUGAAAAAAAGCGUUUGGGCAUUCAACAUCGUUCUUUCUGGUUCAGCCUAUAGGGACGGUAUAAACGAGUGGGACUGAGAUGAGCGAUCACUGUACCGGAAGUACAGGCUUAAUUAAACGCUCACUUCUUUCUGUAGUCGGAAGACUUUGGGUGUCGAGAUACUUCAUAAAGUUUACUCUGUAAUUAUCAAAAAUUUUUGAACUCCUAUCCACAAGAACCAGGUGGACCAAGUGGAACAAUUUACGGAAGAGAAAAGGGAUAUAGGAAUUUAGUAAUAUCCACGAGGCGAACAGGUACCCUGUUUUACAAAAAAUCAUUCAACCUCACGUAAUCUUUUACGGGAAAUGAAAUAGCAUUUUUAUCAAUGAUAUUUAUUAGGAAAUUAUCACCAAGUUAUCAACUCGCACUAGCACGUGGUUCUUGUUGCAAAAGGCAGACGCGUGAGUUUACAGUGUCGGCCGCCUGGAAAAUUGAUGGUAAUUGCACAGCGCCAGUCUGCAAACUUUGACCGAGGAGAGCAGCAGGAUGGUCUGAGGUCUCUAGCCAAGUGAAUCCAGUAGGGUUUUGUAUGGGACGGUUGCCUGAUAUCACGAGUCAGAAGCCAGGAAGGCUAGAGAGCAAGUUUGCUCCUCCUGUCAUAUGCAGCCACCAUCACAACGGGCGUUCGGUAACCAUCUAUCCAACCACUACCACCUACUCCAUUCUAAAUCCUCAAUCAAACCAUAUUGAAAGGAGGGCAAAUGUUGCAUUAGCUUAGGUUAGAACACCUGUGACCUUGAAGAUCAUAUCAAAGAUGAAGUCUGGAUUGCUGAAGAAGAAUUGGUGUUCUUAUGACUCAACGUCAGGUCGCUUUUUUUGUAAAGAUGAAUAGGUAAGGUUAAAAUUUUAUAAAAAAAAAAUAUUUUCUAGUGACAAAAAAUCUUUGAAUAGAAAUAUUUGUGAGCAUUUACAAGCACAGCUAGACAUUCCUGACAACAUGUAGGCAGGUACAAGAAGUUGUAAAAAUAAAGACGCAUUUUUCCUUGGGAUCUACUUGUUGGGACUACUGUCUUCAGAGUACAAGGUCUACAGACAGAAGGUUGAAGGUAAUACGAAAGGUUGGGAAGUUCCCAACAAAGAGAAGCAGAAAUCGAGAAAAAUGUCCUUAGAGAAGCAGAAGAGGACGUCGAGAAGGAACCCUGAGGAUGGGAUCGAUCUUGUCCAAGUGGAGUCCGUAGAUACGUACAUAGGCCCCUACGGCCGAAAGUCCUUCGGGAGAAAUGAAGAGGGAAUUAGAAGGGAAGUUACAGGGUGGCUUCGUCGUGCCGUAUUAAUUAUUCGGGCAUCACAAUCCCCGUUGCUCCUAGCCGCACCAGGAGCGUCAAACCGGAAACGAUGGAGGAAGCAGAAAGAACGUCAGAUGAUUGGACGAAGAGCUACUAAGGGUUCGGAUAUACGGAGGAUCCAGGGUCUGUUACGGACGUUGACAACGUAGGGGAUGAAAACGGCGUCAAGUGGAGACCGGUCGGAAAUGAGCGAUGGUACGGUAGAUAUCUUUCCGGGUCGACUUCCGGUGAGCUACGACUUCGCAUUCCCGAUGUAAGGAUCGGCAGAGUCCGACGUUUAAAAAAGCGACGCAACAGCUGGACGUCGCGACGCUGUUGACCUCUCGCGACAGAGAAUCGCAUGAGCGAAGUACAGGAAACUCUGAAUGAAGUUUUUUGAGAAUGCUAAAAACGAGCGGAGUUUGGAUCGCGCCCCCAGUUACGAGAAAACCGCAGCGCGUUCCGUUUAGCGAGAGAUGAAUCACCGAGUGCAGAGGGUGGGCAGAGUGCAACCCUGCGCCGCUCACGUUGCACCGGGUGCACUCGUGUGCAUAACCUGGAAGCCUGGAAGCGUGUGCCGAUGUACCAUAUAUAUACCCCGGCGGCGUGUGCGGGUAUAUCGCAACGCAGCGCGCCCUGGAAAAGUAGGGUGCAAUUACCAUUGCCAGCACCGGACGGGCGCACGCGGCUGUUACCACUCCCACAUAAAACAUAAUAUCCAGGUAUCAUUACGGGCGCGUCACGCUCGAAAAAGCUUCUCUUUCUCUCGUGCCGCCAUUAGCCC